rnacentral:rRNA from 1 species
AUACGGAGGAUCCGAGCGUUAUCCGGAUUUAUUGGGUUUAAAGGGUGCGCAGGCGGCCAUUUAAGUCAGCGGUUAAAUCGUGGGGCUCAACCCCAUUCUGCCGUUGAUACUGGGUGGCUUGAUUGCGGUCGAGGUUGGCGGAAUUCGUUGUGUAGCGGUGAAAUGCAUAGAUAUGACGAAGAACACCGAUUGCGUAGGCAGCUGACCAGACCGCAAAUGACGCUCAUGCACGAAAGUGCGGGGAUCGAACAGGAUUAGAUACCCUGGUAGUCCGCACAGUAAACGAUGAAUACUGGUUUUCGGCGAUAUAAUGUCGGAGGCAAAGCGAAAGCGAUAAGUAUUCCACCUGGGGAGUACGCCGGCAACGGUGAAACUCGAAGGAAUUGACGGGG